ACCUUUUUGUAUAAUUUUUUUUUAUAUAUUCCUUCAUUUAAUUUGUUAUAUUCAGUUGCGUUCAGCAUUUUGACUGUGAUACACCUGAUGAUUGGCACGUAUACGUGGGGGGAGAAUUUAAAAUUAAUAUUUGCGUAAUUUAUUUAUAUGCGUUUAAUAUUUAUUUAUAAAUAUUGAUAAAAUUGACACUAUUUAUAGUAUCAAUAUUGGUAUUAAUUGUUAUUGUAUAUUUUUUAUGAAUGCCCUCCCCGAAUUUUUUUUUUGUGUACGUGCCUGCCUGAUGAUGAAUUUUUAUUCAGAAGCGGUCGUACAAUUUACAUAUAAUACUCCAGGUGACGCAUUCAAUCAUUUUAUUUAUUUUAUAUUUCUAUGUAUACAUUUUGUAUUUAUUAGAAAGCUUAUAAUUUAAUAAGUUAUUGUCCAAUACUUUACGUGCCGUUUUACAUAUUUACAUAUAAACAUAAAAAUAUAUGAACUAUAAAUUAGAAAAAAGAAUAUAUACUUAUUAAUUAAGACCUGUUAUAAUACAGAGUAAUCCAUAGGCAACAAACGUAUUGUAAAUCGAGUUAUAUAAAUCAAGUAUGUACUUUAAUCAGAUUAUUUUAAAAAACAAAAGGUUUUAGAGGUCUAGACACAAACACAAACGAAUUAAUAUACAAAUUAAUGUCUUCGUUUUUUCUGUAACUACUGGCUACUGAUAAUGUUUUAAAUCUGAAACCUCUAGUAAACACACACAACAAUACACACUAUUCUAUCCUUUUUGUUGAUAUUUUAGUUAAUCUGUUUAGAUAAAAUUGUUGUGCUGUUUAAAUAAUAUUAUCAUAACCCUAAUAAUUUUAACAUUAGUUUACAGUGGCGUAUAUAGGAAGGGUCACAGUAAGCUUUAGACCCUCCACGUGAGAGUAUUGCAAUCCUCUAGCACAGUGAAAAUUGGCUUAAUUAUUAUCUAUUUAAUUAAUUCAAUUUAUCAAGCUCAAUUAUUGAAAUAUACAUUUUAUUUUUGAAAGAGUUAUUUUUAUGUCCGUGAUAGAGAAACACACGCAAAACGAAUGGCUAAUUUGUUAUCUGAUAUUUAUAGUAAUUAUUAUUUUAUGUAUUGCUGUGAAAUAUGAAAUACAUUUUAGCUGAAAUUAUUUUUAUACAAUUAGCAAUUACUGUAAUAUUAAAUUUAUUUUUUUUUUUUAUUCUAGUGCCACGUAAGACCCAAUGUUUUAAUUUCAUUACUGCAGUAUUACAGUAUUAAAGUCUGAAAACAAAAACUUAAUGAACCAGUUUGAACAUCGUAGGGUAACAUAAUAUUUACUGUUUUGCAUUCGAAUUUUAUUUAUUAAUUUAUUAUUAAGGUUUACUAUAAUAUUAUUGAUAC